CUGCAAAAUACAUACAUAAUAUUUAUAUGUUAUAGUAUGCUAAUUGUCCAAUUUUCACACCAUUUUGGCUCGUCCGAAUCGGUUUUCCCAAAAUGAUUACAUGGCCAAAAUGAUCCAAACUGAAAUGCCACAUGGACAAAAUCCGAAUUGACUUAACUAGUUUAUUUUUCAGGACGAACUGAAUUUGUUAGCUGUAAACAGAUCUGGUAGAUGUAAAACUCUGUAUUUUGAAGACACAAUGCACCUGAAUUAACCAUGCAUCUGAUUAUUUUCAUCAUGCUAGGUUCAUGGGUUUUGCUAAGAUAUAGAUAGUAUUUUCUCAUUCAAGUGGAAAGUAAAUGGACUUUGUCAGUGGAUUUCUUUCAAAUGACUUGGAGGAUGCAAGCAAAUGCAUUGUGAAUGCACUUGUGGAUGCCAUUUGCUCAAUGGGGGAAUUAUUGUGCAUGCACACUUGUGAUGUUUUACAGAUGUGUAUGCUCAAUUGCUUAUUAUAUCUCUUACUUGUGGAUCCACUGCCUAAAACAAACAUUCACAUUAAUAGUUCAAUAAAUAGGUGUUAGCCUGCAUCCUGGAUUACGCCUUUAACCCCUUAAGGACCAAAGUUCUGGAAUAAAAGGGAAUCAUGACAUGUCACGUGUCCUUAAGGGGUUAAUGGAAAUAAAAAUAUAGUUGCAACUUUAUAACUUUAUUUUCUAGAAUGCCACAGAUAUGUUUUUGUUUUCUCAUAGGCCUACAUGUAUGUAAAUGUUUUCUGUGAUCAAAAUACUAUAUAUAUAUAAUAUAUCUAUUGAUUCACUGAUUCAGUUCUGUUUAAGAAGGGAGUUGGGUUUCCAAAAUAAACUAUCUUCAGUUUACGUUACUUUUUUGAAAAAAAACUUUGAGAUCCAGAAUGGCUGCUAAUCCACCUAACAAUAUUAGAAUAAUCAAG